rnacentral:rRNA from 1 species
UGCCAGCCGCCGCGGUAAGACGGAGGGGACAAGUCUUUAUCGGAAAGACUGGGCGUAAAGGGUCUGUAGGCGGUCCCUUAAGUGAAAGGCGAAAGGCCCGGGCUUCACCCUGGCAAGACCUUUCAAACUGGGGGACUCGAGUCGGAAAGGGGAUAGUGGAAUGUCUAGGGGAGGGCUAAAAUCCAGAGAGCCUAGACGGAAGGCCAGAGGCGAAGGCGACUAUCUGGGUCCUGACUGACGCUGAGAGACGAAAGCGUGGGGAGCGACCGGGAUUAGAUA